rnacentral:piRNA from 4 species
UUGGUGUAUGUGCUUGGCUGAGG